rnacentral:pre_miRNA from 1 species
AAUGGGGUAGAUGGGUCAAAUGGUGGUUCCAUUCCAAGUUUUCUGAGGAAUCUCCAUAUUGCUUUCCAGAGUGGUUAUACCAAUUUGCAGUCCCACCAGCAAU